UAGAUAAGUAUUCACAGAAGGAAAACCAGAGGAACAUUAGGCGAAAAUCAUCAAGCAGCGCUGCAAGCAUCUCAGUCUCCAGAAGCAACAUCUUCGGUCUCCAGAAGCAGCAUCUUCGGUCUCCAGAAGCAGGUUCUUUUGGAGACGAUUCACGAACGACCUCCCUUCCCAUGUCUCGUAAUAGAUCAUGCAUGGUUACCGUCUCUCCCAAUACUUUAAUCAUAGACCUUUCAUGGAGAGUUUCCAAAACAACUUCUGGAUUGUAACCGCAACGGGCUCCUAGCAGUUUUGCGACGUAUUCUUUCUCUUUACCAAUAAAGAAGCAUGCAAUAUCAAGGAAUGCUCUUUGUAGUUCACCAUCAAGUGCGUGAUAACUUGUUAGAAGCUUUCCUUGAAUGUCUUGGUUUGGAAUUCUG